GACGAACGCUGGCGGCGUGCCUAAUACAUGCAAGUAGAACGCUGAAGAGAGGAGCUUACUCUUCUUGGAUGAGUUGCGAACGGGUGAGUAACGCGUAGGUAACCUGCCUUGUAGCGGGGGAUAACUAUUGGAAACGAUAGCUAAUACCGCAUAACAAUGGAUGACACAUGUCAUUUAUUUGAAAGGGGCAAUUGCUCCACUACAAGAUGGACCUGCGUUGUAUUAGCUAGUAGGUGAGGUAAUGGCUCACCUAGGCGACGAUACAUAGCCGACCUGAGAGGGUGAUCGGCCACACUGGGACUGAGACACGGCCCAGACUCCUACGGGAGGCAGCAGUAGGGAAUCUUCGGCAAUGGGGGCAACCCUGACCGAGCAACGUCGCGUGAGUGAAGAAGGUUUUCGGAUCGUAAAGCUCUGUUGUAAGUCAAGAACGGGUGUGAGAGUGGAAAGUUCACACUGUGACGGUAGCUGACCAGAAAGGGACGGCUAACUACGUG
rnacentral:rRNA from 1 species